CCCUUGGACGGAAGUCCACACUCACUGCCAUCCCUAUUGUGGUACCGCGCAGCCCCGAUCCCAGGACUGAGAUGGAUAUGGUACCAUUCACAGAAGAAGUGUGCUCUGGGAUGAAAGAGCAUGAAGUGCAGGUUGCCCCCUGCAGCUCCAGUUCAGGGAGACCCAUAGCAGCCCUUGGCUCUCUGGACAAGUUGCCGGAAAGUGAGAUUCCAGAAGAGGAGGAGGAGGGAAUAGAAGAGCCAGCACCGGCCACCAGGUAACUGGAUAGUCAGGGCUGAGAUUCAUAUGGGGACCACUGGUGUGGGUCCCAUGAAAGCAGAGCUGAAGGUCGACAGAGCACAACUUGCACAGGCCGGAAGGCAUCCUGAAGCCGGCACUCUGAGUCCAUUCCCUCAAGUCAGCAGAAGCGCCUUUCUAGCAGUGUGGGUCUUGUUCCCACACUGGGAACUCAUCUCUACCCAAGUGCACCUAAAACAACCUCACCGGUAUUUGAACUCAUAAACAGUCCACUUUCCUGUUUUGUGAAAACAUCCUGGCUGAGAUUUGGAUCUGGUUCUGUAUUGUUCCCCUCAGCUCAUUGGCAGGAAUUUCCUGCUACAAAACUUAAGAUGAUCAAAAAAUCUCAGUUCCCGUGUCUAUGGAAAGGGACUUAGGCUUCACAAAGACAUGCACACUCCUUUCUCAGCCACUGUGACUGAGCUCACGUAGAAAAGUCAUCCAAUUCACAGAAAAGUUGAGCUCUGACAUGGUCUCUGGGUGUGCUUAGGGUUGUGGUUGUGUCUGUGGUGUUGGAGGCUGGAUCCUCAUCAGCUGGUCAUCCAGCCCAUUUGCUAUGCCUCUCUCCUGUCCCUACUGUCUAGGCAGCUGCACUCUGCCUUCCUAGGAGGACACAUUCAUCUUUGACAUUUGUGUGCUGUGUUUGUGACCACUCCCUUACAUCUCUCCCAGAACGCUUGAAAUCUCAGGUCUCAUCUUUCUGGGUUUUCUUGUUCCUCAUCCAGCAGUGUGAGUGCAGAGCACCAGCACUGUGAUGAGGAGGAAGACAUCCUUCAGGCCUCCCAAGGUAAAGAGCACAAGACUUCCCCCACUGCCUGUGAGGCUGGUGACAACCAGCAGCCUCCGGUGCCACUGCAGCCCAGGUGGAUGAGGCUGAGGCGCCUUCUCCACAGGCCCUGGGUGAGUCCUGCAUUAGUAAGUGAACUACAUACAUGUGGCCCCCAUUUCUGUGCGUCCAAUGCAAACUCAGUGUGACAGACACAGGACAUGUAGAGGGGACUGGUUGAAGACACUGUAACAGCUCCCAGCCAUCACUAACCCAGUUCUGGCAGGCAUCUGUUCAUUUGUUCACUUUUGCUUUUGAAGCUGGAACAGCUGUGGUGUCUUGCAGUGUUCUUGCCAAUUGCUGCUCCUGAGUACUUUGACCUUUAGUUACUGUACAAGUAUCACUACACUUGAUACACUCACUAGAGAUGAUGUUAGGGUUCCUCCACUCCCAGCCAGCAUCUCUGUCUCUUGUGGGCCUCUCUCCCAUGAAAGGUGUCAGUUCCCUGCCAUGACAUAAACACUGAGGACUGUGCCUGCCAGUAUCCUGGAGAUGCAUCUGAGCCUUGGGAGUCUCACCUUCUUGGAUGCCAGCACUGUCUUCUCUGAGUGACCCUCAGGCUGUAACCUCCUUGACACUCUGUAGAGUCCUCCAUGCACACAGACUCAGUUAAGAGUAACCACAGCCAAUCUGGAACCCUCAGGCUCUUCCACUCUCUAAGGAACGUGUGCUAGGGGACAUGAGGACUCUGCUCUUAAAGAGUUUGUUACUUCACUUGAGUCUAAUCUUGAGAUCUCUAGUCAGCUGAGCUCAGGAGUUCUUGAUGAGUCUGGUGUUUGAAAGAUGAUCAGAUGUUAUGAGGCCAGUUCCCGGGACAUCUUUGGGAAGAUGCUCACUAAGCUGUGUCCCAGCAUGGAGACCAGGACCCUGUGUUAUUCACCUGUCACAGCAGAGUCUGUCCAGGGGCUUGGGCAACCAUGCCCCCUGCCCUGUCACCCAAAUUCUCAUAGGCUUCCUGCAGCACUGUCUCUGAUUGUCAUGUUUUUCUUUAAGUAUUGACAAUGGUGGGCUUGCAGGGUAUGACGCAGAGAUGGCGAAAACACACCAUCCAACACUAAUUUUAUUUCCAGAAGAUCAGAAUCACCUGGAUUUUGAAGAUGCCCUGGAGCCAGUGGCCACCAGGUAACUAUUAACUAUGAUGAUGUUGAGGCCUGCUGUGUAGACCCCACAAAGUCACAUCUCUGACACACUUCCUUCACCCCAUCUUCCCACCGCAGUGGAUAUGUUGAAAGUAUGCUGGUGCCUUUGUGCUUUUUCCUGGUAUGGAAUCCUGAUUUAACUAAUUUCUGAAAUACCUGAAUAUGCUACAGAGGAACUGUGAUGACCAUGGGUUUCAGCACUAUUCUGUAGAUGGAGAUUUGAUGCCUGCAAGAUGAAACUCAGCGAUGUGGAAUUGCCCUCUGCACAUGGGGACUUGAUUUCACUGGCAGGUUUUCAUCGGCAGGAAAUUUUGUCUACAAGGAAUCACUUUUCUCAGAGUUUGAGGUUUGCCACUGAAAGUUUCACAUGUUUGAAUGCGGAGCCAUUUUCAAAAUGGAGGUCCAUCAUCUUUUACUUAAGACAGAAUAUCAGAGAUGUGCUGUCUCAGGAUGGCCCUGUGAGGCGCCCAGGACAAAGCCACCAGAGAAACCAUUUGGGUUGGUGCAAGGUGGCCAAGGACUUAGCCAGCUUGGCCCAGGUGAAGACUGCAGGCUGAUCCUGCCUUGAUUUCUGUUCACUGUGGUUCUAGCAUUCAAGUAGGGACUCUGUAAUGUUGUUCUUUUGGAGGGCUCUGGUCACUCCUGCCAUUUCUCUUGGGAUCAUAUGUCAUAGAAAAUGGUCAUGGGUUUUGAGUAACAGGGCCACAACUCCCAUACAUAAAUGACAGAAGGCAGAUAGAGGGUGCUGGGCAGGGGGCAGUUUGUGGACACUGUAGGACAGGCUCGUUUCUCCUGUUCUUGGUGAAAAGAAGCAGAGGAGAUGGGAGCCAUGAGAUGUGAAUCUAUUAGCCAUCUGGUUCAGGUGCAUGACAGGAGUGAGGAGGAUGCCGGUCUCUGCGGACCAAGAUCAAAGUAAACUUGGCCCAGUACAACUCAGGGUAGACCUGGACCAACUUCCCCAAAUAGGGACAGUGUGUACUAGAGAGCAGAAUGUCAUCACAGACUGUUUCUGUGAGGCAGCACAGAGGUCAUUCAGUACUGAUCCCCACAUCCAUCUGAAAAAUCAUGCACACCCAUCCAUGUCCUCAUGCUGCAAUAGCCACAAGUGACGGGUGCAGUGGCACCAUGCAGUAGCCAUCUGGACCUUCCUGAAUUUGCUUGCAGAGCACCACUCUGAUAGAGACAAAGAAGAAAAGGAGACUCAGUCACUGGAUCCCAGGUACGGUUAGGGGCCAUAAGCAAGUGUGACAAGAGCGGUUGCAUAAAUCUCAAGACCAAGGUUCAGCAGUGCCCACACAUGGGACUCUCAAGAGUUAGAAUUGCCCACCAGCUGUCAUGGGAUCCUUGAUCCAGCCAUAGCCACUUUUUUUUUUUUGUCUUUUUUAUUGGUACCAGGGAUCGAACUCAUGACCACCUGCUUGCAAGGCAGGUGCUUACGCUGCUGAGCUAAAUCCCCAGCCCCCAGCCUUAGCCACUUUGACUUGUACAAAGUGCUGUGUAUCCUCUCAGAUGAUUAGAGAGGGCAUGGGCCCAAGAGAACUAAGAAAUCUUGGGACCUGCAUGCCUUGAAAGAUACCUCUUAUCCUUGGAAAGGUUAAAGUCAGUGUUCCAUGCACCUUGUCUUUCUGAACUAUGGGCGUGAGUUUAUGGACAGAAAGGACAGUAGAUAGAACAUCCACAGAGAGCCAUGUCAUGUCUCGGUAUUGAUGAGAACAGGCUGAGAGGGCCCAAGUUCUCCUGCAGUCACUGCAAAGCCUGUCAUCCCUGGACCUAGGCAAAUCCCCAUUGUUUCUACACUACCCCUGCCAUAGUUUUCCCUGGAAAUUCCCUGUCCAGCUGCACCUCAGAGGGAAGCUGCUUUGUCUCCUCCUCAGCUGGUUAUGUGGAAAGCGGCCUGAGCAGGGGCUGCUCUCUCAUACCUGUGACCCUCUUUUGUCUGCUUCUCUGCUGUGCUUCUCUGUCUCUGUCUCCUGCUCUCACUUCCAUUCACAUAGUAGUCAGACAAUGCCCAGAUCAGAGAACAGUUUCCUUCAUUCUCUGACUAGAAGGCCCAAGGUAUUGGAAUUCACCCUGAAGCUUUGAUGGAGGCUCACCUAGGAAACUUCAUUCUCCAAUAUAAAUUUUUUUUCAAACUGUCCACACCUAACUCCAUGUCAGUGUUGAUGUACGUGAUGAAAAAGUGAAUGACUUUUCAGAGAUAUCAGUGGAGGAGCUGUCCUCCCUGGGUUCUGGGCAGCCCUUUUCACCAGCACCACAAAAACAUCCUCUGAGCAGAGACAUCCCUGCGAUUGAGCCUGAAGCAGGAUCUCUGCCUGAUGACAGCAGUGAGUACCCCAUCAUCCUGCUGGAAGCGCAGCUCAACUGUCCAGGCUUCUCAGUUCUCAGGGUCUCAGCUGAGAGAGUCCACUAAAGCUCGGCCAGGAGUACCCUUUGGUUGUAGAGGAGGAGUAGAAGUCUGGGACCUCAGGAGCUUCACUGAGUUCCUUGUGCCUGGCAGACUGUGUCAGCCUGGGUCUCUCAGUGCGUACCUCACCCCUGCACAUGGGCCAGAAUGAGGAGAGGGGAGUGCAGCCUUGCAAGGCCCACUGACACCUGUGCUCUGUGGGCUCAGAUCUCUACCUGAAGGACUCUAGUCAUGUGCCUCUAUGGUCUCUCCUAACCAGUCUUUCCCUGUUCUCUGCACAUCUGUAUGGCUGGAAGCCUCCCCAGGUCUCUGAAGGCGUAUUUGUGAAGCUGAGGCUCCCAGCUCCCAGCUGCUGUCCCGCCACACUGCUGCCUUCCCCCAGAGGAGCCCUAGGGCAUCCCUUUCCCUGCCACUGCCGAGAAUCCAUCCUCCUCCCAGCAUCAGUGGUGUCUCACCUGUCAGGCUUUCAUUUCCACCACAUGUCUCAUCUCAGAGUUCUGCUUCCUGUCAGCCUCACCUGACAGAGGACAGAACUCCUGUGUGCCGUCACCCCAAGUCCCUGUUUUCUUCAGCAAGAGCCCCAUGGCCACAUCUCUUGCUGGCCUAUGUGGAAAUAAACCUCAGGUCACUGUUCUUGCCACCAAGGUCUUUUGAUCUUUUUGUCACAGAAAUGCUGUGAAAUUCUGUUUAUAUUUACUCACUGCAUGAAGUAUCAGAGACAGGGAAGCUGUGAUGUCAUUCUGUAAAUCUGAGUGCCAUCGAGUGGAAAGAGCCAGGACACAUAUGGUUCCAUUUCCCCAUGUGGCAGCCAACACCUCUUCACUGUAUGAUUGUACUAUUACUGUCCCUGUUCUGCAAACAUGGAAGAGGGUACAGAGUGUUCUCAGGUUCCAGGCACUUGAAAACAGGAGUUCAGUACACAGUCUGGGCAUGUGCUAUGUGCAGAGCCUACUUCCAUGUAGCUCCAUUUCUAGUAUCAGUCACGACAGCCUCCAGGUAUAUUAUGUGUGAUAAUAUAAACAAAAACUUAUAGACAAGGAGAUAAUACAGAAACCAUUGUUCAUUUUCUGUUCAUUCUAAAUACCCUGCAAUACUGUCAUUCUCUUGAAUGGUUUUACAUUGUCUUGAUAUGUUUGAUGCUAAAGUACAUGAAGUUAUACCCAAAGAUUUUAAGGGAAGAGACACUAUGGUAACUACUAUUAUGUCGAGAUUAUCUUGUGGUGAAACACUAUUUUGCUUAAGUGGCUAUGUUUGGACCUGCGCUGUUUUGUUGUUAUGCCCUCUUUUUUAUCUCAAUCGUCCUUUUUAUUAUCUACUUUUUCAUUUUUAUCCUUUUAAUUAAGGGAAAAAUAAAUAGCAGGAUAUAUUAUAGUAACCCACUUUGAUUUCCUAUUAACUUGAUUUGAAACUCUGUAUUGCUCUCACCAUCGUGUUUUGACUGAUUUUCCUCUAUUCUGUUAUGCUUGAUAGUACCAAGUUUGAAAGUAUAGACAAUAAGAUUCAUUGUAACGUCCAUUCUGGUUGACUAUUAUCUUCUUUUGAAGUCCUCUAAUGUCUCCAGUGUUUUGGUUUUAUUGGUCUUACUCUCUACUGUUUGUUCAAUUUUAUUAUAACUGAUGAUAUAGGCAAUUCUUUUUAAGAUAACAAGAGGCAUUAUGAUAACCAUUGUUGAUCACCUUGUAUUUUGUUUUUACAUUGUGUAUUAUGUCCAUUCUUUUGAUUUGACUGACUCUGUCCUGGUAUGUCACAUUUGGUUUUACUUUCUUUAAAAAAAAAAAAAAAAGUAAUAAGAACUGUGGGAGUAAUCAAACCCAAAAUGUGUAAUUGUCAUUGUACAAAAGAAAGGAAAGUUCUCUAAAAGAUAUAACUGCAUAUAUAUUUAAGUGUAUAAGAUAACCAUAUUACUGAGUUUUGUUGGACCAUUGAACAGAACUGCAGUCUCACUGCUUGAAAGUCCCCUCUAUAUGCUUUAAAUUUGUAACUUCAAAACUGUAACUAUUUUGAAGAUGACAAUAUGUAAUUAACUAGUGAUUUCCUACUGUUUAUUUUUUCUGAAAUUCUAUAUAACUUGUACCCUUUUUCUGUUUUUUUCUUUUUUCUGCUUAAAUAAAAUUUUUAAAAAAUA